AAGUCACCUUGAAGUCGUUGAAGAAUGCAUAAAAAAUUAAAGAAAUUGAGAUAGCAAGUAUGCAAAGUUUUAUCAAAAUCAAGAGGGAGUGACCAGCUCAGCCUGGGGAAUUUAGAGAAGCCUCCUUAGCAGAAGAGGGAUGUUGAGCUGGGUCUUGAAGAACGAGUAGGAGUUCACCAUACUGGAGAUGGGGGUGGAUAGGAGAGAUCCUUCUAGGUGGAAGGUUCAUUCAGCAUGUUUAAAGACACUAAGGCAUAAAAAGACACAGAAGGUAUAUGGGACAGUGAGAAAUGUCCCUUCAUUAGAUUGGCUCUUAGGGUGAGGUGUUAUAUAUCCGACACACUCCUGUUAAAAAUAUAAAUUCCCCUGGAAUUAUUACUCAAUAUGAUGUUAGUGUAAAUUAACUUAUCAAAUGUCUCUAAGUGGCAGCCUGCUGAAAGCAGGGCCUCACAGGCUUUGGGAAGAAGAUAGAUAAGUAUCAAUAUAGAAAAAGCAGUUCAGGGCAGUGUGCUUUGCUUUAGGAGGUAGAUCUGUGUGGCGGACCAAGGGGUGGGCAGCCCCAGACACCCAGGAAAUAUUGUGAGUACUUCUGUGCCUGGGGUGAGAGUGCAGUGAAUUUUGCUUACUUCAAAAUUGUCAGGUCAGGUAUGGCAAAAUGUUUUUCUUUAGAAAGAAGUUCCUAGAUCAAGGAAAUUUAUGGUUCAGAGAGGGUCUGUGCCCCUAUAAGUUAUAGCAGUGAUGUUAGUUUUGAAUCCUUUCCCUUAACAUUUAUCUUUUUUGUACAAUGAAAGGUAGAGCAACAGCAAUUAUAAAAUAAAUGCUAUUAGCAUAAAUGGAGCUCGUGUUAACAUUGAGAUGAAUGAGCAGUAAGAAACCAAAUACCUAAAGAGAAUGCUUACCUCCAAUUCCAGUAGAGCUGUGAACUCUCUGAUAUGUUGGGAAGUGUCUCAUGUUUUACUGAGAUUUAUGAAGAGUUUGCCCAUUAACUUACUUUCUUGAUUUUCUGUAGUUUAUGCCCAGGGUUCUGGACCAUGUUUAUCUCUAUUUGGGAGGUAAAUAUGUAUUCUCCUUAGCGUCAUAAUCACAUAUUUCCAUUAAUCUCUAAAAGUUAUUAUAUCGGUUCUGCCUUCCUCUGUAUUUUCUAAGGCAUCAUAUGGCUUUAAAGUUCUAUAAUUAAUUCAGUUAUUCAACAAAUGUUUUUGAGCAUCUUCUCUGUGUCCUUCAUUGUGCUGAGCACUAAAGACACAAAGCUGAUCAAGACAUACUUCAAGUCCUUAAAGAGAUUAUGGUGGGGAAACAAACUGGCUACAGAUGAAAUGAUAGAGUCACGUAUAGGGUACAGUAAAGGUUCCAAAAAGAUCUUAUCAGCUCUUCCUGGGGAGGCCUGGCAAGGCUUCAAAGGGGAUGUGAAACUUGAACUAAGUACUGCAAGAUGAGCAGACAUUCACCAGGCAAAUGGCAUUAGGGACUGAUCUUGCAGAGAGAACAUUCUAGACAAAAGCACAGGGACGGAGAUAUAAAGCAGAAUACUCCUGGAGAAUUGGGAAUUGUUCAGUGGGACUAACAGGAAGGGCAUAGGGUGGUGGGCUGGGUUCAGACAAUGUCAUUCUCCGAAGUUUGGACUUUGUACUACAGUGGAGUGCCGCUGAAGGGUUCUAAGAGCAGAUUUGUUUUAGAAAAGUCCCUAUGGCAGCAUUGUGAGGGGUGAGCUGGGGAGGAGUGUGACAAGAAGCAAUGAGGCUACUUCAAGCAAGAACAAGAGCAGCAGUGAGGUUAGACAGGAGUGGGCUAAAGAGGCAGAGGUCCGAAGAGAGAGAGAAUGAAGGCUUGAACCUGAACCCUAACAUAUCUUUGCCAUCCAUUGUAAUGGGCACAGAGGUGGCAAAAGAAAGAAAGGAGUAAAAAAUGACAAGAAUUACCCAGGUAAUGCCAUUGACAAAGAUGGGAAACAGAGGAAGCUAAGGGGGUAGGUGGUAGAAACAAGGUGGGGAGGAUGGAUGGAGAAAUAACUGACUCUGUUUUCAAGAUUCUGAAUUGGAGGUGAGAUAUCCAAAUGAAGAUGUCCACCAAGGCACUGACUAUGUGACCUGGAGCUCAGGAUGGAAGACACUGCCUCAGGAGCACGUGUAGAAAGUGUAUUCACUUUGGAUAAAAGACGGACUAUUACUUGAGGUCUGCAGGAGGGUGGUAAAAGUGGAUAUAGAUUCAGAAAUAGAAAAAUCCAUUCUAAAAUUCAUAUGAAAUCUCAUGGGACCCUGAAUUGCCAAAACAACCUUGGAAGAGAAGAACAAAGUUGAAAGCCUCACACUUCCAGAUUUCAAAAUUUACAACAAAGCUACAGUGAUCAAAACAUGGUACUGGCAUAAAGACAGACGUGUAGACCAAGGAAUAGCAUAGAGAGCCCAGAAAUAAACCUUCACUUAUAUGGUCAAAUGAGUUUUUUCUUUUUAAAGUUUCUCAUAGAGUUUUUUUAAAAAUAAAUUUAUUUUAUUUAUUUAUUUUUGGCUGUGUUGGGUCUUCGUUGCUGCACGUGGGCUUUCUCUAGUUGCGGCAAGUGGGGGCUACUCUUCGUUGCAGUGCGUGGGCUUCUCAUUGCGGUGUCUUCUCUUGUUGUGGAGCAUGGGCUCUAGGCACGCGGGCUUCAGUAGUUGUGGUGCGUGGGCUCAGUAGUUGUGGCUCGCGGGCUGUAGAGCACAGGUUCAGUAGUUGUGGCGCAUGGGCUUAAUUGCUCCGUGGCAUGUGGGAUCUUCCCAGACCAGGGCUCGAACCUGUCUCCCCUGCAUUGGCAUGUGGAUUCUUAACCACUGCACACCAGGGAAGCCCAGCUCAAAUGAUUUUUGACAAGGAUGUCAAGAGGAUUCAGUGCGGAAACUAAAGUCUUUUCAAAAAAUGGUGUUGGGAAACCUGGAUAUCCACAUGCAAAAGAAUGAAAAUGGACCCUUAUACCACCUCAAAAUGGAUCAAAGACUAAAACAUAAGAGCUAAAAACUAUAAAACUUGUAGAAGAAAAUAUAGGGGGGAGCCUCAUGACAUUGGAUUGGGCAAGACUUUCUUGGAUAUAACACCAAAAACACAAGCAACAAAAGAAAAAAUAGAUAAAUUUGACUUCAUCAAAAUUAAAAACUUCUGUGCAUCAAAGGACACUACAAAUGAGAUGGAAUAGACAAUCCAUAGAAUAAGAGAAAAUAUUUGCAAAUUAUAUAUCUUAUAAGAGAUUAAUAUCCAUAAUAUAUAAAGUACUACAAUUCAACAGCAACAAAACAAACAACCUGAUUAAAAAGUGGGCAAAAGACCUCAAGAGGCAUUUCUUCAAAGAAGAUACAGAAGUGGCCAACAACCAAAUGAAAAGAUUCUCAACAUCACUAAUCAUUAGGGAAAUGCAAAUCAAAACCACAGUGAAAUAUCACUUCACACCCAUUAGGAUGGCUAUUAGUUAAAACAAACAAACAAACAAAAACUAGAAAAUAACAAGUAAUGGAGAUGAUGUGGAGAAACUGGAACCCUUGUGCAUUGCUGGUGGGAAUGUAAAAUGGUGCAGCUGCUAUGGAAAACAGUAUGGCAGUUCCUCAUAAAAUUAAAAAUAGAAUUACCAUAUGAUCCAACAAUUUCACUUCUAGGUAUAUACCCGAAAGAACUGAAAGCAUAAAUUUGAACAGAUACUUCUACACUCAUGUUAAUAGCAGCAUAAUUCACAAUAGCCAAAAAGUGGAAGCAACCUAAAUGUCCAUAGAUAGAUGAUUGGGUAAACAAAAUGUGGUAUAUACAUACAAUGGAAUAUUAUCUAGUCUUAAAAAGGAGGGAAAUUCUGACACAUGCUACAACAUGGAUGAACCUUGAAGACAUUAUGCUAAGUGGAAUAAGCCAGUCACAAAAGAACAACUAGUGUAUGAUUCCACUUAUAUGAAGCACCUAGAGUAGUCAAAUUCACAGAGACAGAAAGUAGAAUGGUGGGUGCCAGGGGCUGAGGAGAGAGAUGGGGAAUUACUAUUUAAUUAGUAUGGAAUUUCAGUUUGGGAAGAUGAAAAAUGUUCUGGAGAUGGUUACACAACAGUGUGAAUGCCACUGAACUGUACACUUAAAACACAGUUAAAAUGAUAAAUUUCCUGUUAUAUAUAUUUUACCUCAGUUAAAAAUAAAAAGUGGCACGUGAUUUAAAAAAAGAUGAAACUGUAAGGAAAACGUUCUUUGAACAGGACAAUCUGGAGGAUAUACAAAAAUUUCAAAUGCACAUCUAUUCUAGUCAUCUAUUCUAGAGAAAAGUCCCCACAUGACACAGAGUCAUGUUCAAGGACAUUCCCUGAAACAAUGUUCCUAAGGAAAAGUGAAAACAAAUGUUCCAGUAAUAGCAGAAAAUUGAAACAAACUAGAGCACUUUACUACUAAGGAAUACUAUGCAGUACUUAAAAAGAAUGGGGUUAAUCUAAAUAUACCAGCAAGGAAAAAUCUCUUAAGACAUACGUUAAGUGAAAAAAGCAAGUUUCAGGAAAAGAUAUUAUCCCAUUUAUGCUUUUAAACUACCCACAAAUAGGGAAUUCCCUGGUGAGGGAGUGGUUAAGAAUCCGCCUGCCAAUGCAGGGGACACAGGUUAAAGCCCUGGUCCGGGAAGAUCCCACAUGCCGCGGAGCAGCUAAGCCCAUGCACCACAACUACUGAGCCUGCGCUCUAGAGCCUGUGAGCCACAACUACUGAACUCACGUGCCACAACUACUGAAGCCUGUGUGCCUAGAGCCCGAGUUCUGCAGCAAGAGAAGCCUCUGCAAUGAGAAGCCCACGCACUGCAAAGAAGAGUAGCCCCCGCUCACUGCAACUAGAGAAAGCCCGCUCACAGCAAUGAAGACCCAACGCAGCCAAAAAUAAAUAAAUUUUU